GCAAGUUUUCCUCAGGAGCAGCAGCAGCGCGAGAGAGAGAGAGAUGGUGGGCAAGGGGAGGCGGCGGCGAGAGAAGAACUACAGGGCGGCUCACGGCGGCGGCACCGCCCUUCCUCCGCCGCCGGAUCCCUCCCAGGUGGACGCUCUGCCUUCCAAGCUCCGCAGGCUCAUCUCCUUCGCUUCCUCUCCACCUCCACCUCCCCAAGGUGCGGCGAAUGAUUCGAAUGCCGGUAAGACCUGCAAGAGGAGCGAGUCGGGAGACGAUGAAAAACACUCUCGGAAGGGUGGGCUUGACUCAAAAGCUACUGCAAGUGAAGUUGGAGGUGGUGAUGAACGGUUAACUACGCCUUGGAACGACAAUGAUGAAAUCAGUCGGAAGAGUGCAGGUAAAAAGAGAAAGAGGAAAGGAAAGAAAGGGCAACCCGAAGAUCUUCGAUUUCAAGCGCCGGAGGAAUCAAGCACCAGUUCUAGAAGGAAGGAACGCAAGAAAAUGUAUAGAGAAUCAAAAAAAAAGAAACACAAGAAGGCCAAUGAUAAGGAUGACAUGGACUUUCCCGGACAUGAGAAGGUCAAAUUUGGAGACAUUGUUGAAGCUCCGCCCAAAUUGACCAUGAUCCCUAAGGCAAUGAAGACCCUGCAAAAUGCAUCCCAACAGAGACUUCGUUUACAGGUUAUUGUACAAAUAUUGCAAAGGAUGGGCAGCUAGGUUCGCCACCCUACUUCCUUCGACAAUAGGUUAGAGGUUUGAACUUUAAUUCUCACAAGUGAACAGAAGAUUACCACAGGGACUGCAGGAUACAGCCUCAAUGUCUCUGUGAGUGUUGCAUGAAGAUAGUGCAUUCGGUCGAGCACCGGAUCAGUUAUUCUUUCCACAAAACAGUCAGGGUUAGCUUCACUUGCUUGAUCUCCAAUCACUUCCUUUAUUUCGUCGACAAUCUUUUGCUGCACUAGGGGGUGUUUGCAUAGCAUGUAGAGGAACCAUGAUAAGGUAUUUGCACUAGUAUCUUUCCCAGCGAUCAUGAAAUUCAGAAUUAUAUCCCUCAAGUACUUAUCAUUCAUAUUCUCGGGCUCUUUCUUGCUCUCGAGCAAAAAUCUCGAGAGAAUGUCCUCCUUGUCAUUCUUGAAGGAAAAAAAGGGAAAAGGAAAAAUCAGUCAGAGGAAUUGCCAAAGAGAAAACCUGCAAAACAUUACGGGUAUAUGAUGAAAACAAUCUUUAGAUGGUGCCAAGAGUUUUUUUAGCCAGAAUUCCUCCUCUGAAAACUUUAAUGUACUUGAGCUUCUACAGAAUUCUUCCAUAGUUCUUAUUAUUCAAAUCUUCCCCAACAUUACAUGUCCUACUGCCUCUUCCAAAUUUGAGUUGUGGCUUGACAAAAGAAGAGCGGAAACUUCAAAAAUUGGAUGGCUAUAUGUACACUAAGUACUCUCCAAUGAAAAAAAAGAAUGUACUCACACGCUGUACUGGGAGUUGAUUCCUCUUGGUUCUGAUAAGUUGGUGCACGAAAUUGUCGAUGAGUUUGAUGUUAUUUCCAAGACGAGCUUCUGAUCCGAUUUUGAGAAGUCUUUUGAGAUUCCAAGAGGGAUCUACAUAUCGCCAGUAGAUUAGUGCAUGCGCCUCAUCAAAAGCUCUCAUGAAGGCUCUUCCCUCUUUGCUUGAUCCAUCCAAGCAAUUCAAUUCUACACCAAAUCCAACUUUGAAGAUGGAAUCCAAAGUGCAUCUCAUCAAUAUAUCCUACAGACACGAUGAUUGGUUUUGAUCCUCAUGGAGUUCUCCUCCUUCAAAUAUAAAAAAUACUCACUUGCAUAUCGAAUCCCUCAGAAGCAGCCGAUAACUCCUCCACAACCUUGACCAGCUUCGCAGAAUUCUUUCUGAACACGCAACAGCUAAAAUCUCUGAGCACCCUUGUUGCAAACUCAAAGCUCGCGACCUUCCUCUGCUUCUUCCACUUCUCUCCAUCCACCGCGAAAAUACCCUCCCCGAACAAAUCCUUGACUAUAUCUAUGUCAUACUCUCCCUUUGUGUACUUCUCGAACUUUGUCUUCAAUAUGUACUCAACGUUCCUUGGAUCAGCCGUGUAAAUCGCACUAUGGGCCAGCGUGAGGAGCCGGAACGUCGUAGUUCUCCUUGCGACUUCAGUUUGGUAGUCAUAGAGCCGGUUGAAGUGCGCGGUUAGACCAAAGACCGUCCCGUGAACGGGCGGAUACUUGGAGCUUCGGAGGGACUUGCCAGUGAAGGUUUUCAGGAGAAGGAGAGCAAAGGCGACAGAGAGAGCGAUUGGAACGAGUGCCACAGAGUAGAGCAUCACAGACACAAUGUUGAUGUCCAUUUUUUUUUGCGAAGAAGAUGGAAGGUAAUGACUAUGAAGAUCAAGCAUAUGAUAUUCUUCCGUUGAUAUAUGUGUCAAGACUAUUGACUUUUCCUUUUGUUUUACUUAUUAUAAUAAUGCGGAAGGAAGAUUUAAACUAAUGAUUGUGAUUGAGAUGUGCUUAGGUGUUAAGCUGAGAUUCUGAGUAGGAAUUGAUGUGCAUGUACUGGUUUCA